UGACACCUGCGGUGUUCGGAGCGUAAAUUAAGCGGAAUCCACAUAAUAUCAUCGGGAACGCUCGUCGGGGCGGCUAGGCAAGGUCUGUAAUCGCUACGGAAAGUCUGAUGCCGCCGCGCUGCGUACCCACCUGCGAGAAGCGGGUUCACCAUUCUUUGCGGUGCGGCACAGGCGGAUGUCAU
rnacentral:other from 1 species